rnacentral:misc_RNA from 1 species
CAGAUGAAGGAUCCGCCGAAGAAGAGGACGCCAUCGCCACUGUCACAGAAGGCUUUCAGGGAAGACAAAAAAUCGCAAGACGCAUUGAUGCAACCAUCAUUCCAAGAACAGGCUCGCCGCUACAAUCACCCCAGAAGCUAGAGCAAAGCCUAGGAAGGACCCAAGAGUUAGCAAAAAGGAAAUUGGCAUAACCAUGGAAAGGGAAGCACAGAUCAACAGAGCAAUGACAGAGGGUGGAGGCGAUAUGACUCUUCGGCGACUCACUCGCGCCUUUCGAAAAGGCCAAUGGACUUUCUCGGCUCCUUAACGAUAACCACCAACACAUACAUGCAUUCUGCACUCUCUUCAAAAUCUCGACAAAAUGAGCCUCAGUUCUGAACUUCACGCGUCACCUAUACCCAUAAACACAGCAAGGACAGAAAAACAUAGAAGCACAACCCACAAGCAUGCAACUUGACCUAGUUGUAAGAAAAGACAAAUCAAAAUCACCCCCUCACCAAGAAGCCCAAUCUACCUCAAAAACACACCAAAAGUUUAUUCACAACCUUGCUCGAAGGUGGGAGAGAAAUCCACUUUCCGAGCAGGGUAGAGCACCCCUUCUCGAAAGGGGUAAAGGUCGCCCCAAAGUCGACUGAAGAAGAGGCUAAACCUAACAAAUGAGGAAGUACUCGAGAGAAAAUGUCUCUCUCUAGAACAGCUAA